rnacentral:rRNA from 1 species
AAGAGACAGCAGUCGCCGCGGGAAUACGAAGGGUGCAAGCGUUAAUCGGAAUUACUGGGCGUAAAGCGUGCGUAGGCGGUUUGUUAAGUCUGUUGUGAAAUCCCCGGGCUCAACCUGGGAAUGGCAAUGGAUACUGGCAAGCUAGAGUGUGUCAGAGGAUGGUGGAAUUCCCGGUGUAGCUGUGAAAUGCGUAGAGAUCUGGAGGAAUACCGGUGGCGAAGGCGGCCCCCUGGACAAAGACUGACGCUCAGGUGCGAAAGCGUGGGGAGCUAACAGGAUUAGAUACCCGCGUAGUCCCUGUCUCUUAUAA